UACGAAGGGGGCUAGCGUUGCUCGGAAUUACUGGGCGUAAAGCGUACGUAGGCGGAUCUUUAAGUCAGGGGUGAAAUCCUGGAGCUCAACUCCAGAACUGCCUUUGAUACUGAGGACCUUGAGUUCGGGGAGAGGUGAGUGGAACUGCGAGUGUAGAGGUGAAAUUCGUAGAUAUUCGCAAGAACACCAGUGGCGAAGGCGGCUCACUGGCCCGAUACUGACGCUGAGGUGCGAAAGCGUGGGGAGCAAACAGGG
rnacentral:rRNA from 1 species